CAAGCAGGUCAGGUGAUCGCGGCGCUGCGGCGUCGAGGAAAGUCCGUCCUCCACAGGGUGCGGUGCCGGCUAACAGCCGGGCGGGGCGACCCGACGGAAUAGGGCAACAGAGAGGCGUAUUGCCGUCUGCAAGGGCGGCGAGGGUGAAACGGUGGUGUAAGAGACCACCAGCGUCGGCAGUAAUGUCGGCGGCUAGGCAACCCCCACCGGGAGCAAGGCAAAGCAGGCGCACUGGGGCGACCCGUCCCGCGCCGGGUAUGCUGCUAGAGGCGGCGAGCAAUCGCCGUCCCAGAUAGAUGAUCACCCACGACAAAAGGCGGCUUAACGACCUACUUGGACA
rnacentral:RNase_P_RNA from 1 species